GACGAACGCUGGCGGCGUGCUUAACACAUGCAAGUCGAACGGAAAGGCCCUGCUUUUGUGGGGUGCUCGAGUGGCGAACGGGUGAGUAACACGUGAGUAACCUGCCCUUGACUUUGUGAUAACUUCAGGAAACUGGGGCUAAUACCGGAUAGGAGCUCCUGCUGCAUGGUGGGGGUUGGAAAGUUUCGGCGGUGGGGGAUGGACUCGCGGCUUAUCAGCUUGUUGGUGGGGUAGUGGCUUACCAAGGCUUUGACUGGUAGCCGGCCUGAGAGGGUGACCGGCCACAUUGGGACUGAGAUACGGCCCAGACUCCUACGGGAGGCAGAAGUGGGGAAUAUUGCACAAUGGGCGGAAGCCUGAUGCAGAAACGCCGCGUGCGGGAUGACGGCCUUCGGGUUGUAAACCGCUUUCGCCUGUGACGAAGCGUGAGUGACGGUAAUGGGUAAAGAAGCACCGGCUAACUACGUG
rnacentral:rRNA from 1 species